rnacentral:rRNA from 1 species
UACAGAGGUCUCAAGCGUUGUUCGGAUUCAUUGGGCGUAAAGGGUGCGUAGGUGGCGAGGCAAGUCGGAUGUGAAAUCCCGGGGCUCAACCCCGGAACUGCAUUCGAUACUGCUUUGCUAGAGUACUGGAGAGGAGAUUGGAAUUUACGGUGUAGCAGUGAAAUGCGUAGAUAUCGUAAGGAAGACCAGUGGCGAAGGCGGAUCUCUGGACAGUUACUGACACUGAGGCACGAAGGCCAGGGGAGCAAAGCGGG